rnacentral:lncRNA from 1 species
GGGACGGCAGCUGUGGCAUAUGGAGGUUCCCAGGCUAGGGAAAAAGACAAAAAAAGGAAGUAAAGAGGACAUGACUAUAAUCCAGAAUAUUCUACAGGGUGGGUCUUAAUACUCUUAGGUCCUCUGGCUAAAGAUAAUGGGAAACUAUGGAAACACAAUACAGACAAGACUGCUAAUGACAGAGUUCCUUCAAGAGGAUUGGAGUAUCCCCACUAGACAAAGAACCACAACCAACUGGACCACUUACUGAAGACAAAGAGACUUGAGGAAAUUUUAGUGGAAUAAGAAAAAUAUAAAUACCAAUCAUGGCCAAAUCAUCACUUGUAGAAAAACAGUAUCUGUAGUGAUUAUACUCAUUUUCCUUACUGCUUUGAUUGGUUUAUAUUUACAUAUACGAAUGAGUUAUUCUUUUCUCCUCUUUGUUGAAUUAUCUAACAUUAGAUAUUUUAACAAUGAUUACCUGUCUACUUCAGCAUUUACACUACAGGAUUUGAAAGGGGCGAGUGUAACUUAGUUACAAAUUUUGUAGUACCUUCAAAAUCCCCUUUUGUGCCUGGAAAGUGUGCUUCCUAAAAUUCCUUUCCCUACAUGGUUCUGGAUUAGAGUUUUCCAACGAGAACAACUUCCUUGAGAGUUGGAAGGUAAAGUGCAGCAAAUGAAUUUUUGGAAAGUCAUUAUAAUUCCUUGUGGUAGAUUUCCAGACUUUUUACAAGCUCUCACCUAUCAGUCACAGCGGUUUGAAAAUAACCCCCAAAAAUGGUAUGCUCCUUUCAUUAUUCCUUUUCGGUCUGAAAUUGUGAAUGUUUCUUGAUUCUCUAGCUUCAGCCAUCCAGAUUGAUACUCCUAUAUCUCUUACCAUUUUUGUGAAAGGCUUUUUCUCAUUAUUAAAGAUCGAUUAUACUAUCCACACUUGCAAGGUCUCAAUUCUCUUGAACAAACUCAGACAGGAUACAAUGAGGAAUCCUCCAUUCCUGUUUUACAUUGGUACUCCUGGCCUCUGUGGCAGUACGUCCAGUGAAGUAAGAUUGCUUGUUGAAGAUGGAUACCAGAGAGACUGCUUGGCAAAACCAGAAAUGGUGCCAGAGCACCCGAUUAGCAGGUCCUGUGAAGAAGCAUGGAGGAGAACUAAGGGGAGAUCAGGAAUGUGGAUGGGAAUUAACUGGUGGCAGGCACUCAGGCAUCCAGAACUCACCCUCAGCACCCUGGCACCACGCUGCAAACACAAAUGAUUCUAGACUUCACCUUGCUGGGAGGAAUAAAUGCAAUUACUAACAUUCUUUCCAGCUUUGGUCAGAGGAUAUUCCUAAGAGGUACAGUUGAAGCUACUGAUAGAAUGUAUCAACAAUGCUGCUUCAAAGGGACGGGAAAAGGCAUGGUCUGAAAAUGGGAACGCAAAUAAACCCAGGGUUUUUAGGGAUCAGAGCUAGAGCUAGGGCAAAGUUUACCACCCAUGAUAUUAACACACCAAAUUAUAACCCCCUAAUUCCGUAUUGAAAUUAACAACCAGUGUAUUACUUUGGAUCACAAAGCAAAUAUGCUUCUCAUCUCAAAUCCAAAUUAGGAGUGUAAAGUUUCUCACUUCAUAGAAUUUAUAUUCCUAUCACUAUUUACCAAGCAACCCUGAAACUGAAAUGAUUUAGUCAGCAAGAACAUUCUCUUAUUCUAUUUUAUGGGUGUAAUAAUUUGGCUUAAUUGUCAAUUGUAUAAGUGAUAAGACUUAGAGAACUUACAGUAAUUUGUCCUUUUUAUGGUAGAAACAUUUCACCGUGGCCUAUUUCCAAUGAAGUGACUAAAUGAAGAAACAAUAAUUUUCUUAAAGAGACAUUAAAGAGCAGUUGAAGUAAGCAUCUCUUUUGCGUGUGUAAAUCCUAAAUCAUGUCCUAAUUUUAAAGCCUUCCACAAAAAACAUUGACUGACUAACAUUCUACUUUGGGCACACAGUGAUCGACUUAAAUUAGCAGCCCUCAAAGUUUUGUUCAUACUGCUUGAUGCUGUACUGGUGGCAGAUUCUGCAAUGAGCUGAACUGGAUCCUGCUCUUCUUGUGUACAAAUCAUCACGAUACCCACAAGAAGCAAUCGGAGACCCGACAAUUGUUACUGAACUUUGCGCUCUGUGAAAACACUGCCCAGUUUCAAUUGAUAAACACACUUAUAUAUGUUCACGCCCAUGUACAAAGCCCAUACACCACAUACAGAUACAGGCACAUCACAAAACAGAGAGUAAGUCAGAGGCAUGUGAUUUACUUCCAGCAGGAAAAUCAAAGCAGUUUUCAAUUGACGUGACAGUCCAGACUGUAGCUGAAGCUCCCAAGUCUCCCUCCACUUCUGACAGCCCCAGCAAUGCUCCCCUUGAAGGGAAUCUGUUGACAAGGCAUCUUCUGGACACUUGCUGACAGGGACAAGAAGCUUAUGGGUUUUGAAUGGAAAGGAUUUGCUAAAUAAAGCUUCAAUCCAAGCCUUCACCCCUUUUUCCCCAGAGGUCAGGCCACUAAAGUCCUUGGUAGCUUUGAAAAUCACUAGGGGAACCAAUGAAUUACUUACAUUUUAGAGCUUGCUCCGUGACACUGAUCCCUAGGUAAACCCAGUUAGGAAACUAAGCUCACAUGAUUAUAUUUUUGAAAUGAAAAAGCUUGUUUUUUUGCACCCACCUUAUUAGUGGUGGAUAUUCCUCUCUGAUCCAUUGUCAAUGACUGAUUCUUACCUAAUCUAAACCUCAACACAUCAUCCUGGU